AGUGGUGGAGGGGAGACCAGUUUCACGAUCGGAGAGAUAUCUGUUUACCGAAUUGUUGUACAAACAAGACAAGUUUGCUGACAAGUAUUUACUGUCUAAACUACCUUCGCACAACGUUUACCUCAGAUGACCACUGUUUUUACGUCAGAGUUCGAGAUCAACGCAAUUAAGCUGUCACACUGAGGAGAUGUCACAACAGAAAGCCUUUGUCACUCAUUAUUCAGUGGUCAUCGUGGCGGAGAUACUGUUGACAAGAGCCAAGAACAAAGUGAGAUUUGCAAUGCUCAGAGAGGAGGGGAUGUCUCUGACAAGCAAGAGGUAUUGGGAGAAUACAGAAAAUCUUCUAAUGUGACAGUCUCCUUUGCCUCAUCGGUAGUGGGAGACACAAUCAGUGACCUGACAAGGCUGGGUAGAGGGUGGACAAAUGAGACGGGAACAUUUAGGCUCCGUCUUGUGCUUGUCACCACUGACACAAGAAACUUCAUGAUGCUGCAGUCCAUUCCCACACGAUGAUGAACACUGCGGAGAAUGACAGGUACGGAUGGGAUUACGAUGAAGAGAAUACCCAGUCUGUUGAGAGGUUUGCACGAUCCUGCUCUGUUAAAUCUCAGAGAAGUGCUGCUGUACCUGAAUGUAUGUUUUUCAGCUGAGGCCACUGGAAAACCAAGAAUGGGGUAAAAGUUGAACUAAUGUCUGUAUCAUGUGUUUUACAGACAACGUUUUGUAAAUGUGACAAGCCUAGGUGGGGUUUUCACUACAUGAAUGCCAUCCAAAUGCAGGCAAAAGGUAAAAGAGAGAAGAAAAGGAAUUCAACUCUUCCAUAAAAAUAGCCAACUAGUAUUUUUGGCAAACAAAUCCUGCCAGUUUACUUUAACUUUAAUUUCCCCAUAUCUUCCAGUCUGCUUGUGGUUAACACAAAAGAUGAAGUUUUACAUGAGUUUAAAUGUUGGUCAUAGUGUGUAGAUCAUGCUGGGUCAUUUGUGCAUGUGUAUUUGGUUGUUGAUUGGAAAUGUUGUUGCAUUGCAUAAUAUUAAGAAUAUGUCAUGCAGAUAUAUUCCAUGUAUGUGAGUCAUUUUCAUAGAAAAGAGAGAUUUUGAGUGCUACUAUGUAUCCCAUUGAGAAAUAUAUUAAAACUGUGAGUGGACUCUGCACAUCUCACUCUCUGGAUUUUAUUGCGUUUGGAGAAACAGUACUAUAUUCAUUUUAAAUUGUUUGUUUCAUAUAUUA